rnacentral:lncRNA from 1 species
AGAUAAGUGAGCUCGAACUAGAAAACACCCGCUUACAACUCCAACUCAUCAAGGAGAAGCAAAGGGGUGAUGAUCUAGAAGACGAAGGCAAAGAAGUGAAGACCUUGUAUGAGACCAGUAGAAAGAGGUUAAGGGAAGAAAAAGGUAAGAAAGAAUGGGUCGGCGGUGCCCUCCUAGGUGCCAAUUCAGAACUUGAUGGACGAAACAACGAAUUGGAUCGAGCAUGGCGUGUUGUUCGAGACUUGGAAAAGAUUCUGGAACUUACCAAUAGGGAUAAGAAGAGCGCCAAGGGAGAUUAUGAAGCUCAGAUCAGCGAAUUGAGAAAGACCAUCAAAGAAUAUCAAGAUCACGCAGCCCGCGAGAAACUGGAAAAGGAGAAGAUACACAGAGCCUACCUUCACGAAAAAUUCCAACUAGAAAGGGCUCAUGAGAAAAUCCGAAGCAUGAAAGAUGGAAUCAUUGAUGAAGAGUAUCAAGAGAUGAGGGAUAACUACCUAUAUUGGGAGAGUGCUUACCAAAGAGCCGAAGGAGCUAUAGCUGAGAGGGAUGCCAUCAUUGGAAACCUGCAAGGGUUAUAUAGUGAAUGGAGGGACAAGUAUGCUAACAUGGCGGUUCUGACCAUGAGAGGGAUGCCAUCAUUGGAAACCUGCAAGGGUUAUAUAGUGAAUGGAGGGACAAGUAUGCUAACAUGGCGGUUCUGACCAACUAUGCCCUCCAGGACUUCCCUGACAAGCUGAAAGAGGCGGAUAAGAACAUGUGUCCCGAUAAUACUCCCCACCAAGUUUACAACUUUGUGAAAUUUUGCAAGAAGACCAUGGCUGAGCUGAUCACAGAUGUCGAAGCUCUCCGCAGUGCUCAAGGGGUGACCUUUCAAGUCAAUUUGUAGUCUGUUCAUGAUGUGAUACGAAGAGGAUUGUCUCUUUGAUUUCCUUGUACCUGUCAAAAAAAA